rnacentral:pre_miRNA from 14 species
UCUUUGGAGUUGUGGGUGGUUGCGAGAUUCUGGACGAGCCCCCAAUUGAAAGAUCACUGGGGUGGGGAAGACCCCCACUCAAAUCUUGAGAUGAUGCAACCCCCAAGAACUCACGAGAAACC